rnacentral:rRNA from 1 species
UACGGGGGGGGCAAGCGUUGUUCGGAAUUACUGGGCGUAAAGGGCGCGUAGGCGGUGCCACAAGUCACCUGUGAAAUCCCCGGGCUUAACCUGGGAACUGCAUUCGGGACUGCAUUGCUCGAGUAUGGGAGAGGGAAGUGGAAUUUCAGGUGUAGCGGUGAAAUGCGUAGAUAUCUGAAGGAACAUCAGUGGCGAAAGCGACUUCCUGGACCAAUACUGACGCUCAUGUGCGAAAGCGUGGGGAGCAAACAGG